CACAGCCUUGAGGCUGUUGUUUCUGUUUCUUUUUACUCAGUCUGAGUUUACAGGCUUCAUCAAAUGAAAAACAGAACCAGGACCACCAUGCAGCGCUGUGUCUGUGGGAGGCUUUAAAAGAAGUCCAGGUGUCACAAAGAAGACAGAGCAACAUUGGUUUAGGAAAAGUGGAUCAUCUUUGCCUCAUCAGCCAGGCCAUUUUCUACAGGACGACGGAUCCCGAAGCCCCUGGCAGCCCAACGUUGCCAUCAUCUCCGUAACUGGCAGCUAUAUUGUCCACAGUAGCAGCUGCGACUCGCCUCGGGGACGAAGCUCUUGUCUCACCGCACAUGGUAACGUCUACAAACCCUGCAUGACAAGUGCUUUCUCCGUGCUACGAUGGCGAGAACAGAGGUGCCAGAUCAGUUUCCAUGACUCCCCUGCAGAAUGCCAGCGAUGAGCUGCAGUGAACAUGACAGUGUGGUGGGUUUGGUCUGUUAUUAUUGUGACUUCCUGUGGCUAACCACCAUGCUGCGGGUGUGCACACACACACACACACACACACAAACCAUCAGACACCUGAGAUGUUCUCGGAGUCCUGACGACUGAUAUAACAAAACCUGACAAAGCUUUUUCCUUUGAAAGUGUCCAUGGGAGAAUGUUUAAGCAGGCAGAACGCUAACUUAUAUUCACCACCUAUGUUACCUUCCCAAGAAGCAACUAAUGCUACAAUAUCAAUAUAAACUUACUAUUAGUUAAAUGAAAUCUCACCAAGUUUUUAAAUGAUUACAAAAACAAUAUCAACUAUAUAUUUGCGAGAAUAUUUUGUCUAGCUAUUAUUUACUUCUAUUUCCCUAAUAUUUAUUAGGAAAGAAAACAAUCCUGUUUCUGUAUUGUAUUAAGUGCAUGUGUCUGAUGUUGAGUUUUUCACUUUAUUAGCUAAGAAAUAAGAACUAUAUAGAAUAAUACACAACAAAAAGAAGGGAAAUAAAAAAUACUUUAAAACAACA
ensembl:lncRNA